rnacentral:rRNA from 1 species
CCUACGGGCGGCAGCAGUGAGGAAUAUUGGUCAAUGGCCGGAAGGCUGAACCAGCCAAGCCGCGUGAAGGACGAAGGUGCCAAGCAUUGUAAACUUCUUUUGUCAAGGGACAAAAUCAGGCUCGAGAGCCUGACCGAGGGUACUUGAAGAAAAAGCAUCGGCUAACUCCGUGCCAGCAGCCGCGGUAAUACGGAGGAUGCGAGCGUUAUCCGGAUUUAUUGGGUUUAAAGGGUGCGUAGGCGGGCUGUUAAGUCAGAGGUAAAAUCCCGGGGCUCAACCCCGGCGAGCCGUUGAGACUGGCUGUCUUGAGAUGUAGAGAGGUAUGCGGAAUGCGCGGUGUAGCGGUGAAAUGCUUAGAUAUUGCGCAGAACUCCGAUUGCGAAGGCAGCAUACCGGCGGCGAUCUGACGCUGAGGCACGAAAGCGUGGGUAUCGAACAGGAUUAGAUACCCGGGUAGUC